UAUGACAUUACGGGACUCUGCCUUCUAGGA
rnacentral:piRNA from 1 species